rnacentral:tRNA from 1 species
GGGCUCGUAGUCUAGCUUGGUAGGAUCCGAGGUUCGGGACCUCGUGGCCGGAGUUCAAAUCUCCGCGAGCCCA